GACGAACGCUGGCGGCGGGCUUAACACAUGCAAGUCGAACGAAAAGCUCCGGGCUUGCCCGGAGUGGAAAGUGGCGCACGGGUGAGUAACGCGUAGGCAAUCUACCCUCAGCAGGGGGACAACCAGUGGAAACGCUGGCUAAUACCCCAUAACAUCCCAUGGUCGUAUGGCCUAGGGAUCAAAGUUCAGGCGGCUGAGGAUGAGCCUGCGUUAGAUUAGCUAGUUGGUGGGGUAAUGGCCCACCAAGGCAACGAUCUAUAGCGGGUCUGAGAGGAUGAUCCGUCACACUGGCACUGAGACACGGGCCAGACUCCUACGGGAGGCAGCAGUGAGGAAUAUUGCGCAAUGGACGAAAGUCUGACGCAGCCACGCCGCGUGCAGGAAGACACCCCUCCGGGGCGUAAACUGCUUUUAUAUGGGAAGAACACCCUGCUCUGCAGGGUCUGACGGUACCAUACGAAUAAGACCGCUAACU
rnacentral:rRNA from 1 species